CUCAUACAGGUGCACCCAGUGCUGGGGAACAUGAAUCUCUCUGAACUAUACCUAAUGUUGGUGAGCAAUGUGCUUUUCAUACUCCCACAGUUUUGGUAACAUUCAUUAUCAGGAAAACAAUGGAACUCAUAGAUGGGCACUGUUGGACUCCUGCUUCCUCCAUGCUCAGCCACGAUGACAUCAAACCUCCUGACCACAGGUUGGCGCUAGGCACUGCUGGGACUCUGUUGCCCUACCCGGAUUUGAGGGAGCCAAUGGGCAAGCGCUCCUGGAGUGGGCGGAGCCUUUGAAGGGACCAACCGGGCUGUAGACAGACUGCGAGCAGUCUCGUCCCGCCUCCCGGCCACGUGGGAUUUUCUCUUCCUGCGGAUAGCGGCCCAGGCACGAGCAAUGGCGCCGUAUCUGAUGACGACCCAGUAUAGAUCGCACAGCCAAGAAGCCAGCAGUAAGUGUUCCCAUUACGCGAACUGGCUCCUUUUGCACACUCGACGGGACUGGUGCAGGUUUAAGCACUUUCUGAAACCAUCAGUGCUUCACGUGGAAGCACGUCGGCUAGAAAAGAUUUUCGGUCCAAGUAGAACCCUCCUCCCAAGGUUCGAACAGGAGUUCAAAGUCCUGCUCCGGAUGGGAGAGCCCGACUCCGAGGGCAAAGUUGAAAUCUUUAUCUUGGGGAAGCGCCGAUACCGGAAGCGUGCCAAAAGCCUGAUUCGCAUUUUGGCCGCGAAGCCAGAAAGGAAACUGUAUGGAGGCAUAAUGAUGCUCAGCCUUAAGAAGUCUGUUAAAAGAGAGGAUGUUCAUUCCAGUGCUUCCCUCUCCACUGCAGUGAUGACCAGCCUGGAUGAAGCCAUGCAGUCACUGGAAAUAGGAACUGGUAUUUAUUAUCAAAGUCAUAUUUGAUGUCAACAAGAUGCCACAACUACAGAAAAAAAUGCACACGUUGCAGUCUCAAUGCAAACAGUCAAAUGGAACCCCAGUCAUUAAAAAAGUAAUUCAAAUUACCCCAAAAAGCAACUGAAUUUUUAUUUAUUUUUUUAAAGAUUUUAUUUUUAAGUAAUCUGUACACCCAAUGUGGGGCUCAAACUCAGGACCCCGAGAUUAAAAGUCACAUGCUCUUCUGACUGAGCCAGCCAGGCACCCACAACUGAAUUUUAAAAUAUUUUUUAAUAUUUUUAAUUAAUUUAUUUUUUUUACAUUUAUUUAUUUUUGAGAGAAACAGAGAGAGACAGAGCACAAGCGGGGGAGGGGCAGAGAGAGACAGAAUCUGAAGCAGGCUCCAGUCUCUGAGCUGUCAGCACAGAGUCCAACGCUGGGAUCAAACUCACAAACCAUGAGAUCAUGACCUGAGCUGAAGUCAGAUGCUUAACCAACUGAGCCACCCAGGCAUCCCUUUUUCUUUUUUAAAUAUUUAUUUAUUUUGAGAGAGAGAGAGAGCAUGAGCACACUCAUGAGUGGGGUAGGUGCAGAGAGAGAGGGAGAGAAAAUCUCAUGCAGGCUCCAAGCUGUCAGCACAGAGUCCGAUGCAGGGCUCAAUCCCACAACCCUAGCAUCAUGACUUAAGCCGAAAUCAAGAGUCAGACACUUAACCAACUCAGCCACUCAGCUGCCUCUAAAACAUCUUUAUACAUCCAGCCAACAAAUUGAAAUGGUUAACAAUAAAAAAUACACAUUCAGAGGUCUGGUAUUGAUG
ensembl:lncRNA